AUCAUGGGAUGAUGUGUUACGGAACGAGUAAAGAGACUUGCUGGUAACAAGAUUGAACAAGGUAUCGGGAUACCGACGAUCGAAUCUCGGGCAAGUACAAUACCGCUAGACAAAGGGAAUUGUAUACGGGAUCGAUUGAGUGGGAGGGGCGCAUUUAUUAGAUAAAAGGCUGACGCGGGCUCUGCUCGCUGAUCCGAUGAUUCAUGAUAACUCGACGGAUCGCACGGCCUUCGUGUCGGCGACGCAUCAUUCAAAUUUCUGCCCUAUCAACUUUCGAUGGUAGGAUAGGGGCCUACCAUGGUGGUGAUGGGUGACGGAGAAUUAGGGUUCGAUUCCGGAGAGGGAGCCUGAGAAACGGCUACCACAUCUCAUCCGAUG
rnacentral:ncRNA from 1 species